GACGAACGCUGGCGGCGUGCUUAACACAUGCCAGUCGAACGGAAAGGCCUUUUCGGCGGUCCUCGAGUGGCGAACGGGUGAGUAACACGUGGGUGAUCUGCCCUGCACUCUGGUAUAAGCCUGGGAAAGUGGGUCUAAUACCGGAAAGGACCGCACUUUCGUGUGUGUGUUGGAAAGUUUUUUGGGGGUAUUGUGCGCCCGCGGCCUAUCGGCUUGUUUGUGGGGUAUUGGCCUACCAAGGCGGCCACAGGCAGCCGGACUGUGAGGUUGGGCGGCCAUAUUGGGACUGAGAGGAGGCCGCGGCGCCGACGAGAGGAAGAAGUGGGGAAGAUUGCACAAGGGGCGCAAGCCGGAUGCAGAGAGGCCGCGGGGUGGAAGACGGUCUUCGGGUGGUAGAAUCGGUUCGCCAGGGACGAAGCGUUUUGUGACGGUACCUGGAGAAGAAGCACCGGCUAACUACGUG
rnacentral:rRNA from 1 species